rnacentral:rRNA from 1 species
GGUCCUAUGGAUAUGUAAACUGCUUUUAUACGAGAAGAAACACACCUUCGUGAAGGAAAUUGACGGUAUCGUAAGAAUAAGGAUCGGCUAACUCCGUGCCAGCAGCCGCGGUAAUACGGAGGAACCAAGCGUUAUCCGGAAUAUUGGGUUUAAAGGGUCCGUAGGCGGUCUUGUAAGUCAGUGGUGAAAGCCCAUCGCUCAACGGUGGAACGGCCAAUGAUACUGCUGGACUUGAAUUAUUAGGAAGUAACUAGAAUAUGUAGUGUAGCGGUGAAAUGCUUAGAGAUUACAUGGAAUACCAAUUGCGAAGGCAGGUUACUACUAAUGGAUUGACGCUGAUGGACGAAAGCGUGGGUAGCGAACAGGAAUAGAUACCCUGGUAGUCCACGCCGUAAACGAUGGAUACUAGCUGUUGGGGGCAACAUCAGUGGCUAAGCGAAAGUGAUAAGUAUCCCACCUGGGGAGUACGAACGCAAGAUUGAAACUCACAGGAAUUGUACGGGGGCCCGCACAAGCGGUGUGAGCACGUGGUUUAAAUCUAUGUAUACGCGAGGGAACACUACCAAGGCUUUAAUGCAUACUGACCCGAUUUU